rnacentral:rRNA from 1 species
CCUACGGGUGGCUGCAGUGGGGAAUAUUGCACAAUGGGCGGAACUCUGAUGCAGCAACGCCGCGUGGGUGAAGACGUACUUCGGUAUGUAAAGCCCUGUUAGCAGGGAAGAAAAUUACGGUACCUAACCAACAAGCCCCGGCCAACUACGUGCCAGCAGCCGCGGUAAUACGUCGGGGGCAGGCGUUAUCCGGAUUUACUGGGUGUAAAGGGAGCGUAGACGGGACGGCAAGUCUGGAGUGAAAGCCUGUGGCUCAACCACGGGACUGCAUUGGAAACUGUGUUGCUGGAGUGCAGGAGGGGUAAGCGGAAUUCCUAGUGUAGCGGUGAAAUGCGUAGAUAUUAGGAGGAACACCGGUGGCGAAGGCGGCUUACUGGACUGUAACUGACGUUGAGGCUCGAAGGCGUGGGGAGCAAACAGGAUUAGAUACCCCAGUAGUC